GAUGAACGCUGGCGGCGUGCCUAAUACAUGCAAGUAGAACGCUGAAGCUUGGUGCUUGCACCGAGCGGAUGAGUUGCGAACGGGUGAGUAACGCGUAGGUAACCUGCCUCUUAGCGGGGGAUAACUAUUGGAAACGAUAGCUAAUACCGCAUAAAAGUCGAUAUCGCAUGAUAUUGAUUUGAAAGGUGCAAUUGCAUCACUAAGAGAUGGACCUGCGUUGUAUUAGCUAGUUGGUGAGGUAACGGCUCACCAAGGCAACGAUACAUAGCCGACCUGAGAGGGUGAUCGGCCACACUGGGACUGAGACACGGCCCAGACUCCUACGGGAGGCAGCAGUAGGGAAUCUUCGGCAAUGGGGGCAACCCUGACCGAGCAACGCCGCGUGAGUGAAGAAGGUUUUCGGAUCGUAAAGCUCUGUUGUAAGAGAAGAACGAGUGUGAGAGUGGAAAGUUCACACUGUGACGGUAACUACCAGAAAGGAC
rnacentral:rRNA from 1 species